UGUUUUGAAAUAAGAUGAGUAGGUAAAAGGCAAUAAAGCCCUUGAAGGCUAAAAAUGAGUAUAAAUGAAUAAGGGGUAUUGUAGUAAUUGAAUAAAGAGUUGAUAAAUAUAAAUAGAAAAGAAAAUAGAAGAGGAGAGCUGUGUUUUAAGUGUGAAAAACUGACGGGAGAAGAGAAGAAAAAGGGAAGAAGAAGAAGAGAAAAGAGGGAAAGAUAAGGAAAGGAGAAGAGAAUUGGAAGAAAUAAGUUUAAAGGUUCUCCUAACGAUCCUCAAUAGGUUUUUCGGGUCUUUCAUCUGACAUUCCUUUUAGUUCUAUAUUUUCCGGGUUCUUAGUUUCUGAUAGCAGGUGAACCUUGUUGAGUGUUCCUGCUUCUUCAGUUUUGGGUCGGUAUGCCUUGCUUAUCUUUCAAGACUGUUUGAUUCGAUGUCUUAGGCGCUCCACUAUUAUCUUGUUUUAAUUAAGUUUGGAUUUUUGACAAUGUAAUGAGUAUUAUGGAUUAUUGUUUUUGUUUUAAAUUACUGAUGAGGAGUUUUAAACUAUCUUUUGGUUUCAUCAGUUUUUGAAUAAUAUAAUAUUUCUGAAGAUUAUGAAACGCUGCGUAUUUUUGAAUAAAUUAUUCUUUUGAUGUCCGUUUUGAGGCUUAGCGCAGGAGGGGUGUCCUUCCGCCACCGCUCCUGCGUUGCCGGUCACGGACCCGGGAUUCGGGUCGUGACAAAGGUGGUAUCAGAGCCUGGUUUUGUUAAAAUCUUGUAAUUUGUUUUUGUUAAAAAAAAAAAAUUGUAACUUGGUUUUGUUAAAACCUUGUUGCCUAGUUUGUUAUAAUCGCGUAAUUUGUUUUUGUUAAAACCUUGUAAUAUGGUUUUGUUAAAACCUUGUAAUCUUGUUUUUUUAUUUUUUUUUAAAACCCCCAUAAUAUGUGGAGCUUAGGAUCCUUCUCGUCUUGUUGUGAUUCCUCUUUGUUUUUUUGACCUCUUUUUAUUGUUAUAUUGAUAUACAUGUGAGGAAAUAUAUAUGUAUGUAAAUAUUUGAUAUAAAUAUAUCAUUGAAUAUACUAUAUAUAAUAUAUGUGUUUUUCAUACAUGUGAUAAUAUUUGAUAUAAGUAUAUUCUUGGAUAUAAUAUAUGUGGUAUAUGUGUUUUGCAUACGUGUGAGAAAAUACUUGUGUGUGUGAAAAUAUUUGAUAUAAAUAUAUAUUUGAAAGUAUUUGUAUAAUAUAUGUAUUUGAGUAAUAAUAUUUCUUGGAAAUACUUAAGCAUAAGUAUUUGGUAUAAGUAUAUUUUCGGAAGUAUUUGUAUAAUAUAUGCAUAUGAGUACGAAAUAUAUCUUGUAAGUAUUUAUGAAAUAUGUGUAUGUGGAUAUGUUUGUGUGAUAUGGAGUGAGUAAUUAUAUUAUUUAAAAGUACUUUGAAUUAUUAGAAAAAUAAUAUUAUAUCUAAAAUAAAAAUGAUUCGUUUAUAUAUCUGAUUUGUCAUCGUGUGACUUUGAAAUAUGAAUCUGAUAUGAAAUUUUCAGUGAUUUUGAUAUAUAAAUCUGAUAUGAAUUUUUGAGUUAAACAAGUUAGAAUACCAACAUUAACUUGUGUGAAAGGUUACAAACAAAUCUGAACACUCUAUCUAUGUUUGAUUUUCUGACUUGUAGCACUUUAAAAGUAUGUAUAUGUACGAAUAAUGUUAGUGAGAGUAUAUUGGAUGUAAGUAUGCGUUUUUUUUUUUUGUAUUUGAACAACUUAUAAUAUUUUUUAUUUAAAUUUGAUUUUUCAUCAUAUUUAUAUCUAUAUGUGUUAUCUUUGGUAAGUAUUCUGAAAAAUAUGUCAAUUAAUCUUUUUCUAUGAUAUAUAUAUAUGGCUGGAAAUAUUCUAUGAAAUAUAUAUGUUUGAUAAUAUUUUUCUGGGUGUAUUUAUUUUGAUUACUCUUUGAGUCGUGGAAGCUCAUCUCUUUUCGCAAUAUUUUUAUCUCAGAAAAAUAGAUUUUGAAUGCAAGAGAAAGUUGAAAUAUGAUUAAUCAGUUAUGGAUGAUGAGACUGUUAUUGGAGAAUUUCUUAUUAAGGUUGUUAUUAUAGGCUUUUGAUUAUGAUCUAUAUGGUGAUUAAUAUGGUUAUCUUGAAUUGGGUAAAUUGAUGGUAUGAAUAUUAUAUGUACAAUCUAGUACAGACUUAUUUGAAAUAUUGGAUUAAGAUAUUUGAUUAAUAAAAUUUAUUUGUGAAGUUUUCCUUUCGGGUUAGGUAUGAUAUGUAUGUAAGGGGUUUAUAUGGUUAUCAUGGUCUAUGGUGAUCCUCUCGAUUAUAUGUUGAUCGUGUCGGUACGGCUUUGGGGUAUGACACCCAUCUUCACUCGUCUCAACCUUAAGAUUGGGAAAAAAAAAAUUCUUCUUCAAAGCUUAUGUUUCUUUUCUUUCUGUUAUUUUGUUACUUCUGGUAGAUAUUCUUUAUCUUUUACUCUCUUUUUUCGCAUCAUUGAGGUUGUAGUGUUGAAUCUUCAUCUAGUGUUCUGCCUUCUUCCAUAUCAAAUUCAUUUGAAUAGUUCUUCUGCAUAUCUGUAUCGCAUUUAACUUCUGAACUAUAAGUAUGAUUUCAGUUGUAUCAAUUAUUUUCUUACUCCGAUUCUCUUCUGCAACCAAAUCAGUUAUUUCUACCUCUAGAUGAUUUUCCUUAACGUCAGUUCCUUCUAAUGCAAUGAAGUCUUUGUGGCCAUGAACUUUUAAAAUAGAUUCAAAAGCCGCUUUGCUUGUUUCAUAUUCUGGAGUUUGUAAUUUUAAGGCAUUAUAUGGGCUUUUGCUUUCUUUUACUUGGACUUCAUUUAUACUAUCCUUUUGUAUGCUUGUAUUGAGUUUAACCCCAAAUCCUGAGUUUUUAAGCUCAUUGGUUUCAUCCUUGUGCAAACAUGUAUCUCCUGUUAUCUUUGGUGGAGAUCGAUUUUAUGGAUCAGCUGGUAUUUUCACUUACACACAAUCUUUAAUAUUCUUAAUAAUCAUUUCAGACUCGCAAUCCAAAGAAAUGUCAUUGCCAAUGUCUAAUUUUGCUUUUCUAAAUUCUUUUCUGGGACAAUUUGACUUGAAGUACUCUCAUCUUCUUUUAGUGCUUCAAACCUUAAGAAGUAUUUAUGGCUAUUAAUUUUGGAUCGUCCUUGAUUUCUUUUUUUUUUUUUAGUUUCAUCAGGUGUUCCACAUUCUUUUUAUAAAUACCUCAUUUGGACUUUGAUUUUGUAUAUCUUUAUUAGAUUAAAGCUUUAAUUGAGAGAUGCCAUAUUCCCUACGAUCAUCUUCUUGCAAGGAUAUGUCUUUCGUUUUUCUCAAAUAAUCUUCUAGAUACUCCACAUUCUUAUUUUCUACAUUUCUAUUAGUUGUUGUUGAAAUUCCUUGUUUUUUUUUUUAUGACUUCUAGAGAAUUCUAGUCAAUAACAAUUUCAUUUAUUGUGGCUUCAGCACCUAGAAAUUCAACUAUUUAUGAGGAUUUCUCAUUUUCCUCUUUUAAUCUUGCUUAUGAUUAGCUCUUCAAUACCAUGAUUUUUGGAUUCAUAAAUUACAUCUGAAGCCUUUUUAUUUUUAUGGCAUCAUCUGCAUCUAUGUUUUCUUUAGCCACUUGCUCCCUCGUUAUGUUUUCACAAUCAUUAAUUGAAAUUUGAGAUGUCAAGUUUAAGGAGGGUAUCUUAAGUCCCAUGUUAUCUUUGAAUAUUUUUUUUUGUUGUUCUUCUUUGUUUUUGAACAUGUUUUCGCUUCAAUUUCAAGAGAAGCACUAUCAUUUGAGGUAAUAUUAGAAACCCUAUAACAACUUUUCAUCAAGCUAAGCUUCUUCCAAGUUGAUUUUUGAAGAGAUAUGAUUUGGGAUAAGUUGUUUGAGAAAAUUUGAUUCAAGAGAAAUUGAAGGGUAUGUUGUUUGAUUUUGAAGGAUAUGAAUUAAGAAAAGUUAUGCAUGAGAUAUAUAUUUUUUUUUUUCAGUGGAUAUAUCAGGGUGCGCAACGAAAGCAUGGUGCUAUUUAUUGAUUUUUGAAGUGGACUCAAAAUGAUAGUUUAAGAAACACAAUUUUAGAGAUAAGUUUUAAAUAAUUUAUUUGAUCAUGAUGGUAAGACUUUGGUUCUUAAAUUUUAAGUUUCGAGGACGAAACUUUUAUAAGGUGGGGAGAUUGUGAUGUUUUGAAAUAAGAUGAGUAGGUAAAAGGCAAUAAAGCCCUUGAAGGCUAAAAAUGAGUAUAAAUGAAUAAGGGGUAUUGUAGUAAUUGAAUAAAGAGUUGAUAAAUAUAAAUAGAAAAGAAAAUAGAAGAGGAGAGCUGUGUUUUAAGUGUGAAAAACUGACGGGAGAAGAGAAGAAAAAGGGAAGAAGAAGAAGAGAAAAGAGGGAAAGAUAAGGAAAGGAGAAGAGAAUUGGAAGAAAUAAGUUUAAAGGUUCUCCUAACGAUCCUCAAUAGGUUUUUCGGGUCUUUCAUCUGACAUUCCUUUUAGUUCUAUAUUUUCCGGGUUCUUAGUUUCUGAUAGCAGGUGAACCUUGUUGAGUGUUCCUGCUUCUUCAGUUUUGGUAGAGCUGGAUGUGGGAUAAUGGUUGCAAUUUUCCAUGAGGAGCCACAACCUCAUCCUGACCUCCCCUAACAAGGUAGCUCGGUGAUCUUGAGAGUUGGGUUGGGUAGCAUGGGUCUCAUCUCAACUUACCUUGUUCUGGGGCACAAUGGGCUUGGUGGGCUUUGCUCCAAACCUCACAGACUGUAUUGGUGGGCAAGGAAAAACACAAAUUCAGGUCGAGUGGCGCUCAUGACUGGGUUGGCUACUUGGUUUUAUACAUUUUACUUGUACAUUUGUAUUCCAGGAUACAGAACCUGUCAGAACAAUGCCUGUUUGGCCUGCUCACAGUUGCAAGUGGAAGUUUAAAAUUUAAAUGAUAGCCAGCAAAUAACAACUGCAGGCUUGUUUGCACAUGUUUGUGUGUGCGUGUGUGUGUGCUGGAGGGAGGGAGUUUAUGUUUUGCCCAUGGGGGAAGAAACUGGGGGUGUGAGGAGGGAGACCUUCCUUUUGGCUUCCCUAAAGUAACUGAUACUUGAUCUUAAUCAAAGGUUUAGACCCUUGGUUCAAAACAUAAAUAAUUUAAUUUCUGGAAGAAAAUGACUUAGCAUCACUUCCACAAUUGAGAAGGCUUUAGAAUUUUGCUCUCUUAUCAAGUGCAUUUUUGCUGAGCAGCCUGAGCUCACAUUUCAACUGCUGCUGCUGCUGUUAUUCUGCAUGGAAAGUUUUAAAAUGCUCGAUUUAUGGCACUUGUGAUUUCUUGCUCUACAUUUGUAAAUGCUCGAUUUUCUGAUGGCAGUGCCAAACUUGAUGUGUUUAGUUAGGUAGUCGUGCGGUGAC